rnacentral:rRNA from 1 species
UGCAUGUUUAAUAUUCAAUGACGAACGGCUUAGUAAUGUUGCGAUCAUUUGCUCUCACUGGCUCGAAUAACCACGGUAAGCUGUGGCUAAUAGUUGAGAAUAAGACGCAAUCCUAUCAGUUAGUUGGUAGUGUAAUGGACUACCAAGACGGUGACGGGUAACGGGAAAUCAGGGUUUGAUUCCGAAGAAGGAGCCUGAGAAACGGCUCCUAUGUCCAAGGACAGCAGCAGGCGCGAAACUUAUCCACUCUUUUGCGAGGAGAUAGUUAUGAGACGUUACUUUAAAAAGUAUUACAAACGAAUACUAAUAUAAAUUGGAGGGCAAGUUUGGUGCCAGCAGCCGCGGUAAUACCGACUCCAAGAGUGUCUAUGGUGGAUGCUGCAGUUAAAAAGUCCGUAGUUGUAAGUAUACAAUUAAAAAGCAUAGUUAAAGUAUGUUUAGUUUGUUAAAGGUAGCGAAACGGGUAGAGUGCAUAGUAUAGAUAGGCGAGAGAUGAAAUGACCAAGACCCUAUCUGGACUAACGGAGGCGAAAGCGAUGCACUUAAACGAAUUUCUGGAUCAAGGACGAAGGCUAGAGGAUCGAAAGUGAUUAGAUACCGCUGUAGUUCUAGCAGUAAACGAUGCCGACAAGUAAGAUACGCCAUGUAUUUACUAAGAGAAAUCUCAAGUUUUCGGGCUCUGGGGAUAGUACGCUCGCAAGGGUGAAACUUAAAGGAAAUUGACGGAACUACACUACCAG